rnacentral:misc_RNA from 1 species
CAACAGAAAUACGACUGAAUCAAUCUGCCCAUGAUAUCUACAGAACUCCAACAAUACCUUGUCUCUGGUUCUUGUUCUUUCCAAAUAACAUGAAAUUACAAAUCCAACAAACUGGUGUCCUUUUUGACAAUCAUGGAAUUCACAAGUUACCUACUCAAGGAUAAUCAGACAAUUCACAAUUUAUUACUUAGAAAGAAUGAGUACCUUCCGAUGCCUCUUUUAAUAGAACCCAUUGUUUUGCCACCAUCUCGAGAGCGACUACCUUCUGGAAAUAUGUGCACCCAUCCACCACGGUUCAAUUUUGAAAUAGCCAUGUCCAUCCCCUUCUGAUAAAUACCGUCCCCACGGGACACAGGAAGAACUUUGACAUGUUUGAAGAAGGCAGAUGUGACAGGAUUGCGGAAACAUCGAUCAGUUGCACAAAGUGUCCAUCUCAAAUUUUGUGCAUCCAAAAUAACACUGGGAGGAAGUAAUGCAGCAAUAACUAGUGGGUCAUCCAUAGCAGCAACAUGAUUGCUCACUGUAAUAAGUGGUUUAUUCUCCAUUCGAUUUUCCAGCACCUGAUGUAAUUUUUCUGCACCAUAUAUCUGAACACGAUUGAGGCCAUGCAUAAACACAUGACAAACAUUUCCAAGCACAGGAACAGCCACAGCCUGCAGCAUGCGAGUCAGGACUGAAUCUGCUUCUGGAUCAAUAUCCUUGCUAACUUUCUUACGGUAGAAAGUGGAAGAAGAAGGCAGCGUAUCUCUACGGAAAUCGCUGAACCGUUGGAUCCAGCGUUCGACGGUAGAUGAUAAGUAACCAUCAUAGAUCUUCGGACGGCGACGAUGAUGAUCGACGGCGACUCUAAGACGGUCUCUAAGACGAAGCUGCAGCGAUCGUGCCCUAUCUUUCCAUAGAUCCGCUCCAGUUUCUAUCCACCUCCCUGAAACCAUUCUCAAUUAAUUCUUGCAAUGGUUAUACAUAUUGUGGUGAAGAUUAUCGUAAGCGAAGCGCGAGAAUAGUGAGAGGA